UACGUAGGGUGCGAGCGUUGUCCGGAAUUAUUGGGCGUAAAGAGCUCGUAGGCGGUGUGUCGCGUCGGCCGUGAAAACCUGCAGCUUAACUGCGGGCUUGCGGUCGAUACGGGCAUCACUGGAGUUCGGCAGGGGAGACUGGAAUUCCUGGUGUAGCGGUGAAAUGCGCAGAUAUCAGGAGGAACACCGGUGGCGAAGGCGGGUCUCUGGGCCGAUACUGACGCUGAGGAGCGAAAGCAUGGGUAGCGAACAGG
rnacentral:rRNA from 1 species